CCCUUAGAUGUUCUGGGCGGCCCGCGCACUACAUUGGCACUGUCAGCAAGGGUCUGAAACUAAAACUUUUGGGUAUUCUGAGAACCGGUGUCGUGACUGGGAUUGACCCUUGCAAUUAUUGGUUAUGAACGAGGAAUUCCUUGUAAUCGCGGCUUAUCAGCCCGCGUUGAAUGCGUCCCUGCCCUUUGUACACACCGCCCGUCGCUCCUACCGAUGAAUCGUCCGGUGAAGUUCAUGGAGUAGUGGUUGUUCCAUCCGCUGUCGAAGUGAAAUAAACCUCAUGAUUUAGAGGAAGGAGAAGUCGUAACA
rnacentral:rRNA from 1 species